AAACCAGCACCUCAAGUGGUCAGGAUGAUUAUUGGGCCUAAAGCAUCCGUAGCCUGAUCUGUAAGUUUUCGGUUAAAUCUGUACGCUCAACGUACAGGCUGCCGGGAAUACUGCAGAGCUAGGGAGUGGGAGAGGUAGACGGUACUCGGGAGGAAGGGGUAAAAUCCUUUGAUCUUUCGAUGACCACCUGUGGCGAAGGCGGUCUACCAGAACACGUCCGACGGUGAGGGAUGAAAGCUGGGGGAGCAAACCGGAUUAGAAACCCCUGUAGUCC
rnacentral:rRNA from 1 species